GAUGAACGCUAGCGGCAGGCCUAAUACAUGCAAGUCGAACGGGAUUAAGAGGCUUGCUUCUUAUGAGAGUGGCGCACGGGUGCGUAACACGUAUGCAACCUACCUUCAACUGGGGGAUAGCCUUCCGAAAGGGAGAUUAAUACCGCAUAAUAUAAUUGAGUGGCAUCACUUGAUUAUCAAACGUCAGGGUUGAAGAUGGGCAUGCGUCCGAUUAGUUGGUUGGUGAGGUAACGGCUCACAAAGACUACGAUCGGUAGGGGAUCUGAGAGGAUGGCCCCCCACACUGGUACGGAGACACGGACCAGACUCCUACGGGAGGCAGCAGUAAGGAAUAUUGGUCAAUGGACGGAAGUCUGAACCAGCCAUGCCGCGUGCAGGAAGACGGUCCUCUGGAUUGUAAACUGCUUUUGUUAGGGAAGAAACUUCCGUACGUGUACGGGACUGACGGUACCUAAAGAAUAAGGAUCGGCUAACUCCGUGCCAGCAGCCGCAGUAACAC
rnacentral:rRNA from 1 species